CCGCGCCUCCGGGUCGUUUUGCUCCGCGCGCGUUCCUGCCGCUCUGCCCCCAGCCUGCAGCGAUGCCUGGGGUUGUUGUGAGCGAAGUGCGGGACUGUUGAGCCUCGUGCCGUUGGCGUCGGCCGUCGAUCAGCCUGUGCGGACCGCUCUUCAGGGUCUUCGUAUCCUUAGGCGGAUAAUAGGAGGAUGCGGGAGCUGAGGGGCGAUGGGAGAGAGCGGAGCGUCCUGCCGUGCCUCCGGCAGCCCGGGAACCGCGUGCUGUGGGUGCCGGCACGAAACUCCUCCAUCCGUCAGCACAGGAGCCGCGGUUCUGGCUGCAGCGGCAGGAACUCGGCGCAGCCCUGCAGAGAGCGGUCCGGCAGCAGGAGAAGAUGACGGCCGUGGAGUGUGAGUGCCUCAGCGGUGUCUGCAGCCUGCGAGGAUCCGAGCGGGGCUGGGAAGAGGAAGGUGUGGGAGUCGUGGGGAGGGACGCAGAAUGGCAGCGUCAGCGGCAGGCUCGGCUGCUUCUUCCUCCUCCACUCCUGACGCUGUGCGCUGGUUUCCUUUGAGAAGCACCCCAGAAGCCAGAGGCCAUUGUCACAUCUGUGGGGUUCCACAGAACGCGCAGAUGUGGGAGCAGAGACCUUCAUCCUGUGCCUGCUUGGCUUCCUGACCUCUUGUGGUAGCUGCAGGCAUGACGCACUACCUGGAGCACAGGAUCAGAUCCUGGGGUGUUUGGGGUUUGUUAUUAUCUGAAGCUGACAAUCGCUCAAUCUGUCAGGCCUCCCCUGCCUCGUUUCCAACCUUCCCCUCAGCGAGCAGCUUUCUACCUCAGUCUUUAUUUUCUGAAAACUCCUCAGGUGUGGCAUUCCAAAUCUGCAAACUCUGGUGUUCUUGAGCAACUCCAUCCUGUAGAGGUGAGUGGAUUAGUUCUCAUACUCGAUUGUGAAAGUGCUGUUAAUAACUGGUAUUGCAAGAAGGAAGCCUUUUGUUU